AGCAUAGUUGAUGAAACUGGAAAUUUAGGUGUGUGCUAGAAAUAAACCACGGGUCUUCAGUCUUAAGAAGAAUCGGCUGGCAACAGACAUUUCCAUCGAAGAGGUCUGAAGUACUCUUUAAGACCCGUAUGAGCAAACUAAUGUAUACCAGAAGUCUUUCCUUCCAAGCAGGCAUACACGUAUGACAGCUUGUUUUCAACAAAAUCAGACCCUUGGAUAGGAUUUAAUCUGAAACCUUUGGAGUUCAAGACCUUUUCAAAAGGGCUAAGUAAACAUUCUCUACAUGUGAAAGACCACUGGCUCCCACUUCCUCUGUCGAGAGCAACUCUUGAAGUCAGCGGCCAAUAGGCCAUCUAUCAUCCUUAUGAAGCGAAGUUGUCAGAAGUGCACUGUGGCAAGGGAGCGGAUUUGCUUGAGUAUACCAGCUCUCUCUGUGAGAGACC